rnacentral:rRNA from 1 species
UACGAAGGGGGCUAGCGUUGUUCGGAAUUACUGGGCGUAAAGCGCAGGUAGGCGGAUAUUUAAGUCAGGGGUGAAAUCCCGGGGCUCAACCCCGGAACUGCCUUUGAUACUGGGUAUCUCGAGUCCGAGAGAGGUGAGUGGAAUUCCGAGUGUAGAGGUGAAAUUCGUAGAUAUUCGGAGGAACACCAGUGGCGAAGGCGGCUCACUGGCUCGGUACUGACGCUGAGGUGCGAAAGCGUGGGGAGCAAAUAGG